AGGCGACUCCUGAGGGAGCGGUGCCGCGCCGGGGCGAUCGGCAGUCGCGGAACCCGAGAAGUGCCGGGUCCGGGUUGGGGAAAGGCCGCAGCGAAAGGGGCCUAGGGGACCUGCGGGACUGGCAGCGCGGCCGCCUUCCUCCCGGGCCCCGCCGGCCGGCGAGGGGCGGGCGCUGCAGUGCACGCCGGGGGAUGUAGUUUGGCUCGGACGAGAGCGUCUCGUCCCGGGGUCGCGCGUUGCUCCGGGUGCCAGGUUCAGCCCGCGCGGCGACAGCGGGCUUCGGCCCGAUUUGAUGUAUGUUUGCGUCUAGACGUCGUCCUCACUGUCAUCGCGCUUUGCUUUGCCACCCUGACCCGAAUUCCUCGUUUCGCGUCUUGACUGUUAGCUUUCGGCCCUGGAAAGAUAGCCGGGCCAGGGGCUCUGCCUGCCGUCGGGAGGUGGAGCACUUUUCUUGGAAGGCCCAGCGGCUCCCCAAGCUUUCAGAAGUGGAACCCGGCCGGGCGAGUGGCUCGCGCCUGUAAUCCCAGUACUUUGGGAGGCCGAGGUGGGAGGAUUGCUUGAACCCAGUAGUUCGAGACCAGCCUGGGCACAAUAGCGAGAGCUCUACCAGAAACCCAAAAUAAGAACCGGGCAUGGUGGCGCGCACUUUUGGCCCCAGCUACCCCCGGAGGCUGAGGUCCCACCACUGCACUCCAGCUUUGGGAGACCUUGCUCCCAAGUGGAGCGAGAUCUUGUCUCCAAAAAAACAAAAAACCCAAAAACCAAAAAUUCAAAAGUGGAACCCAGUUAGGAUGACCUCGAAAUACUCUAGCUGCUAGGCCCGAGUAAUUCUCCUCGUGGAGACUAAUUCUCCUCCUAGGCUGCCUCGUGCACUUGUUGACAACAGGUGUUUGUCAAGCGUAGGCAUUGCGAGGGAUCUGGGCAUGUUGGUGAAUAAAACAUUUAAUCUCUGCUCCAGGGGAAUUUAUAAUCUGGUGUGGAAGGUGGGCCUGGCUUCAUUAGGUCUCAUCUGCCACUAAGUGUCACGUGUUAAAAAUUACAAGGUCCCUUCUUGCACUCCAUGGGUAUAAAUUCCUGUCUUCACGUCGGGCAUGGUGGCUCACGCGUCAUCCCAGCACUUUGGGAGGCCGAGGCGGGCGGAUCACUUCAGGUCAAGAGUUCAAGACCAGCCUGGCCAACAUGGUGAAACCCCCGUCUCUGCUAAAAACACAAAAAUUAGCCAAGCGUGGUGGUGGGCGCCUGUAACCCCAGCUACUCGGGAGGCUGAGGCAGGAGAAUCGCCUGAACCCGGGAGGCAGUGGUUGCAGUGAGCUGAGAUCGUGCCACCACACUCCAGCCUGGGUGACAGAGAAGACCCUAUCUCAAAAAAUUAAAAUAAAUUAUUAUUUUCACCGAUUUCACGGUUUGCUCAAGGUGUCUGUUCUCAAAUGUUUGCUUGGGAGUUCAAUUUUAAACUGCCUACAAAUAUUAAAAGAUGUAUGACUGCUCAGGAGAAAAUGCUUUGCUAAUUUGUAUCUCCUGGGCCCUCAUUUUUAUUAGAUCAAGUUCAUUGGCUGUUGAUUCAACACACUUUGGUUAAGCUCUUAAUAUGCACUGAGCAUAGACAUGACCAAGUCUGAGGAUAGUCAGUAUACUGUGUAAGUCCCACAGCACAAUGCUGGGACUUGUCACAGUACAGAAAUAAGGGGCAGGUGCAAAAAAAGGAUCAAUAGCCUGGGGCCGGGUGCUGCGGCUCACACCUGUACCCCAGCACUUUGGGAGGCCAAGGUGGGAGGAUCGCUUGAGCCCAGAGUUUGAGGCCAGCCUGGGCAACAAAGCAAGACGCUGUCUCUAAUUAAAAAGAAAGGAAAAAAAAAUGGCCCGGGAUGAUCAAGAAAUGUGGAAAAAGUGUCUGUGAAGAGUGUCAAAAAAGGUUAAGUAGGAAAUGGUGAAUGAACAAUUAGAUUAUCACACAACCUAAAUUAAUAGCAUGUGGAUUGAGAUUACACUGUAGCUAGACUCUGGAACAAAUUAUUCUUUAGAAU
rnacentral:lncRNA from 10 species